UACAGGGGGGGCAAGCGUUGUUCGGAAUUACUGGGCGUAAAGGGCUCGUAGGUGGCCAACUAAGUCAGACGUGAAAUCCCUCAGCUUAACUGGGGAACUGCGUCUGAUACUGGAUGGCUUGAGUUUGGGAGAGGGAUGCGGAAUUCCAGGUGUAGCGGUGAAAUGCGUAGAUAUCUGGAGGAACACCGGUGGCGAAGGCGGCAUCCUGGACCAAUACUGACACCGAGGAGCGAAAGCCAGGGGAGCAAACGGG
rnacentral:rRNA from 1 species